AGAAUGUCAGCUUUUUGAACUUGAUGAUAUUCCUUUUGAUUCUUUAGCAUUUUCAUCAAUGCUAGUAAGCUUGAAUCUGUACAUAGAAGAUAUUAAAGUUGGAAGACCGAAGUUCCAUUAUGGCGUCAUUAACAAGAGGCCUGGAACAAGCCCUUCUGAUAUCCAUGCUUACACUCUGGAUUUUCAUAUGCAAUCCUGAGAAGCAGAUACAAUAUUUUCAAGCACUAGAAUGCGGUUGGUAUGUUCGUCAAGACUGAAACAGCUCCGGUGUUUUCAUCAAAGCUUUAGUUGUGUACUUGUGGUGAUAGUUCCAUUCUUUCUAAUCACUUAUCUAGUAGUAAAAAGUCUUCCUGAUUUGAGUUGUUCAAAAUUGACUUAUGAUGUGUGCAGACUGAACUUAUAAGAUGGGACACAUCCACAUUCAAUUCAUU
rnacentral:misc_RNA from 1 species